UACGUAGGUGUCGAGCGUUAUUCGGAUUUACUGGGCGUAAAGCGCACCGAGGUGGCAUCUUAAGUCGGAUGUGAAAUCUCCUGGCUUAACUGGGAGACGCCAUUCGAUACUGAGGAGCUUGAGGUCAGCAGGGGAAAGUGGAAUUCCCGGUGUAGUGGUGGAAUGCGUAGAGAUCGGGAGGAACACCAGUGGCGAAAGCGACUUUCUGGGCUGCACCUGACACUCUAGUGCGAAAGCGUGGGGAGCAAACAGG
rnacentral:rRNA from 1 species